AGAGUUUGAUCCUGGCUCAGAUUGAACGCUGGCGGCGUGCCUAACACAUGCAAGUCGAGCGGUAACAGGUGUAGCAAUACAUGCUGACGAGCGGCGAACGGGUGAGUAAUGCUUCGGAAUCUACCCUAUAGUGGGGAAUAACUAGCCGAAAGGUUAGCUAAUACCGCAUAAGUCCUACGGGAGAAAGCAGGGGAUCGCAAGACCUUGCGCUGAUGGAUGAGCCGAAGUCGGAUUAGCUAGUUGGUGGGGUAACGGCUCACCAAGGCGACGAUCCGUAGCUGGUCUGAGAGGACGACCAGCCACACUGGAACUGAGACACGGUCCAGACUCCUACGGGAGGCAGCAGUGGGGAAUAUUGGACAAUGGGGGAAACCCUGAUCCAGCGACGCCGCGUGUGUGAAGAAGGCCUGCGGGUUGUAAAGCACUUUUAGUGGGGAUGAAAUGUGCAGGGUUAAUACCUCUGCAUUUUGACCUAACCCACAGAAAAAGCACCGGCUAACUCUGUGCCAGCAGCCGCGGUAAUACAGAGGGUGCAAGCGUUAAUCGGAAUUACUGGGCGUAAAGCGUGCGCAGAUGGUUGCGUAAGUCAGAUGUGAAAGCCCCGGGCUCAACCUGGGAAUUGCAUUUGAGACUGCGUAGCUAGGGUGCGAAAGAGGGAAGCGGAAUUUCCGGUGUAGCGGUGAAAUGCGUAGAUAUCGGAAGGAACACCAGUGGCGAAAGCGGCUUCCUGGUCCAGCACCGACAUUCAGGCACGAAAGCGUGGGGAGCAAACAGGAUUAGAUACCCCAGUAGUCC
rnacentral:rRNA from 1 species